rfam:TPA: Bos taurus chromosome 5, whole genome shotgun sequence.
UCCCUAGUAGCUUAGUUGAUAAAGAAUCUGCCUGCAAUGCAGAAGACCUGGGUUCAAUUCUUGGGUCAGGAA